AGUCCCAAACCCAGGCGUUCUAAGCGCUCAGGACGACGAUUUGCGCUCACGCCAGGACCCUAGUCUUCAUUGGACCCUUCCUCAUUCUGUCCUCAUUGAGGCCAUCUGAGAAUAGGGGCUAUCUGAGAAUGCAGGGGAGUGGACAUCGUGUGCAGACAGGGAGUCUGAUUGUGAGUGCCACGGGGCUGAGGCCUGCGCCGACCUGGUCUGCUGGUGCUACCAGGCUUGAACAGUCUUCAAAUCCACUGCUAUUAGGCAAAUUACCUGGCUCCCGCUGAACUCCAGCACCUAGAACUAUGUCACACUCGUAGUAGGCCGCUGCAUUGGUUGAACAAAUGAUUUUGAAAGAAUGAAUGUCUUCCUCUGUGCCUGCAUUUCCUCAGAAGGCUGUA
rnacentral:lncRNA from 1 species